rnacentral:rRNA from 1 species
CGAACUCUGGUAUUGAUUGGUGCUUGCAUCAUGAUUUACAUUUGAGUGAGUGGCGAACUGGUGAGUAACACGUGGGAAACCUGCCCAGAAGCGGGGGAUAACACCUGGAAACAGAUGCUAAUACCGCAUAACAACUUGGACCGCAUGGUCCGAGUUUGAAAGAUGGCUUCGGCUAUCACUUUUGGAUGGUCCCGCGGCGUAUUAGCUAGAUGGUGGGGUAACGGCUCACCAUGGCAAUGAUACGUAGCCGACCUGAGAGGGUAAUCGGCCACAUUGGGACUGAGACACGGCCCAAACUCCUACGGGAGGCAGCAGUAGGGAAUCUUCCACAAUGGACGAAAGUCUGAUGGAGCAACGCCGCGUGAGUGAAGAAGGGUUUCGGCUCGUAAAACUCUGUUGUUAAAGAAGAACAUAUCUGAGAGUAACUGUUCAGGUAUUGACGGUAUUUAACCAGAAAGCCACGGCUAACUACGUGCCAGCAGCCGCGGUAAUACGUAGGUGGCAAGCGUUGUCCGGAUUUAUUGGGCGUAAAGCGAGCGCAGGCGGUUUUUUAAGUCUGAUGUGAAAGCCUUCGGCUCAACCGAAGAAGUGCAUCGGAAACUGGAAAACUUGAGUGCAGAAGAGGACAGUGGAACUCCAUGUGUAGCGGUGAAAUGCGUAGAUAUAUGGAAGAACACCAGUGGCGAAGGCGGCUGUCUGGUCUGUAACUGACGCUGAGGCUCGAAAGUAUGGGUAGCAAACAGGAUUAGAUACCCUGGUAGUCCAUACCGUAAACGAUGAAUGCUAAGUGUUGGAGGGUUUCCGCCCUUCAGUGCUGCAGCUAACGCAUUAAGCAUUCCGCCUGGGGAGUACGGCCGCAAGGCUGAAACUCAA